CAGGCAAGCUUGACCACAGAGGGAAGUGUGUCUGGAGGUGGGCUGUCAUAUAACUCCCUAUCUUGUCUCUUAAACCAGUUCCUUCUGCGUUCUCUCUCUUUGCUGAUACUGUUUGCAACCUCCAAGAGCCAGCUAGACCAGAGACUUUGGAAUCCUCUCCCAUCCCCCUUCCUCAUCCAUUCACACAUGGAAACUCUCUGAAGAUCUGGUGGAAGCUAUGAAUUCUCUCCCAAGGAAAGUGUAUAUUUAUGUGUAUGCAUGUGUACUUGAACAUUCUUUUCCCAGAGCAUUCCUAAAGACAGGUAGAAAGCUGACAACAGAGUUGAGUAGGCCUUUGACAGGCAAAUGGCUCUUCUCAAAAAAACUGAGGGACCAGCUUGAAUCUGGAAACCAGGAAGGAGUCCCUGAAGCAAAGUCUUUUCCUACUCUGCUUAUUUUUCACUGACUUGGAGGGAAGAAUUGACUACAUACACAUCAAAUUUGCAGAGAUAGAAAUAAAGAAGAGAGAGUUCUAGAAUCAAAUCCAACCUUGACAGGUUGCAAUAAUGCGCCAAUAUAAACAUGGUGAGACUUAAUAGGGAUAGAUAUGAAGUCCAAAUGUCCAAUUGUGGAAGUACACGAUGGUAAAGAUGAACUUUAACAGAAGCUGGAGGUUCCAGUCGAGUGCAACCACGUGUGAGUCAACAGAGAUUUGCAGCUGCCAAAAUAACUAAUUAAGCUUUAAGACUGCAUAGAUAAAGCCAUUACAGUGAAAUGAUUCAGUAUCCUCUGCUAUGCUCUGUUGGACAUGAUAAUACCUGUAAUGCUCUGGCCAGUUUGGGCUGCCAAGAAUUUGGUGGAAUAUAAUGAGAGAAGAAACAACCAGGGGAUGAAGAGAGUCUUACUAACCAGAAGCCAUAGGUGUUUCACCUGAAGAAUGGGCGGCUUUGAGGCAACAUGAUGAAGAAAUUAAAAGUGUUAGUUGCUCCGUUGUGUCUGACUCUUUGUGACCCCAUGGACUAAUAAUAACUGCCGGCUAAGUCAUGUCCGAAUCUUUUUUUGAGACUCCAUGGACUGUAGCCUGCCAGGCUCCUAUGUGCAUGGGAUUUUCCAGGCAAGAAUACUGGAGUGGGCUGCCAUUUCCUUUUCCAGGAGAUCUUCCUGACCAGGGGUGAAACACAGGUCUCCCCUAUUGUGGGCAGCAUCUUUACCGUUUGAGUCAUCGGGGGGGGGUCAUGAUUAUCAUCUUUAAAUAUAAAAAAAGUCUGAA
ensembl:lncRNA